CCCUCCCUCCCCCCCCCAUUUCUCGGCGCGGCGAUUCGGUUAUUAUUUUUUAACUAGGGAGAUCAACACGAAAAUUAGAAUUUUUGUCACAUAUAUAUAUAUAUAUAAAUACAUAUUAAUAUAAUCUUUGGAAACGAUGCAGAUGUGUAAUCACGCAUCCUGCAGCGGAUGAUUUCGGAGCAAAUUUCUCAAUGACACUCCUGAAGAAUACGUUCCUGAGAAUAGUCAGGCCGCAACGGCGCCGGUAGCGGGAGAAAGAUAGAGCUACACUGUACACCGAGAGCGGUGAAUGCGAGGGUGACUCGGCGAAGUGAACCGCGGAGGAGAGUGUGAGAGAGAAACGGGCGACGACGGCAUAAAAGAACGCGCGUGUGACACGGCCGUGCAAAUCCGUGAGUCCCCUACUGCGCAGUCGUUCGACCGAAAGGUGCAGCGACCAGCGUGCACUUGUGCGAUGCAGUGGAGCGCGCGUAUGUGUGCGCUCUGUGUACACGAUUCCUCGGAUGUGAGGACUUCUUCAGUCAGUUCAAGAGGAAUCCCGGAACGCUUGGCCCUCUUCUGAGUCUCGAAGACGAACACAAGCGUUUCUUAGGCAGAUCAUUUGUAGCUCCGGAAGAAUAUUCAUGGCAAUCAACGACGAAGCACAUGAUGCUCCAGCUGAGCGUUACGGCAAUCCGCAUCCUUGACCUGGAUCUUCAAGAUUUCACGAGAGAUGUUCGAUCACAACACGCAUUGAUUCUCUUCGUUAUCGCACACCGCGACUAUAUCAUUCUAUCACGAACGAUUUCGUCGUCUGGUCGAAUUGUCCCUCUUUUUUCCUUUUGAACUUUGUUCCGUGCACGAAAGUCAUCACCUGCUGUCGGGCGCAGCUACGCGAAGUUUUUUCCUUCGAAGAGACGUCGGAUGCACUCAAAUACGAGCAUGCGCCGCUAGAAGUAGGUCAUUAGGAGCUUGCCCGAGAUCUUUGUUCAGGAUUCGCGUUGGUUCCUUAAAUUCACCGAUCGUUAAUCGAGAAACCGCGCAUGGCAGUGGCGAAAAACACGAUUUUUACGAAUAUUCUCAGUAAAUGAAAGGAUACGAUAAUCAUUAUUUUCUCUGUAAUUCUUGACAUAGAUACGCGAAUCACUAUUGAAAUAAAACGAAUUAUUAGUGCUAAAA